GUUUUUUACAUAACUCUAAGCGGAUGUUUUGCUAAAGUUUUAUCCUCCUAAACAAGAAAAAUCAAAUAAGUUAUGAAAGUCACAGUAAGGACCUUAGAUUCUACUAAUCAUAAUUUUGAAUUUGACGAUGAAAAUAUAACUGUAAAAGACUUCAAAGAGCUUAUAAGUCAAGAUGUU
rnacentral:lncRNA from 1 species